ensembl:lncRNA
GUCAGUUUGCAUACAUAAACAGUUUUUACGCACUUUAUCAUGAGAAUUUAUUAUGACUCUUAAUAUCUGUGACAUCAUCACAGUGGUUGUGUAUCUCUAUAAAUGAGCGCUUCUGAACGCAAAGGUUGUGCAGACGGCACACAGGCUCGCUGGAUAAUUAGCGGCAAUGACAAAGGAGCAGGGCGCUGAGCCGUGGUCUAAUGCGUCGCUGGUGCCGGGACAGGCAUGUGCCCCCAAAGCUCCAGUGCUGCCCCAUUAUUAAUGAAUGACCUUUGCUGAUGUUAAAGGGUUUGGGAGCAAAAUUAACGUCUGCGCUCAUUUGUUGCUGUCACAUUCCUUCCUUAACUUUCUUCAUGGUGUGCGAGAGAUUGCUUUUUUUAGCGAGUGAGUAUUCAGGAAGUGUAAAUAGUGGCACACAUCCUCCUCUACCCAGAAGCCCCUCUACGGCCAGCCAGACAGAGCUCACUUCUACCUUACUUCAAAGAAAAAGGAAAAAAGUUCAACUCUGAACAGUUUCCUACUGAGUCUUGUUAAAACCGUGUGUAAAAAAAGAGGCACUUCAAAGGACCGGUGCUGCUGACUGUCUCGAAAGCACAGAAAGGGUUUUUACUGGCUUGUUGUAGGUUAUUAAUUUCCACCGCACCUCACUAAAUCUUAAUUAGUCAGACGAUAAAGAAAAAGUCAACUAACAAAAACAACAUAAGAUCUUACGGCUAAUCUCCAUGUAAAGUUCAUCAAAAUGUCCAUCUGUAAACCGUCCAGUUGUGUUGUUGCCAUUUGUUCAGUCUCUGUUUGCUCUGAGAGAAUGGGAGAUAAGAAAUAAACACUGAAGUCAUAAAAAUGCAUAUAUUCACCAGCAGCUCUUGUUGAACAUGUAUUGUUUAUCACCACAAAAUAUGAUUAUUAAAACUAAAUUAUUGAACUAGCCUAAUUGCUUUAAAAAAAAAAAUUUAGUUGUAAUUAACAUUUUCUUAGGGAUAAAAAAUCAACCUCAAAUUAUGCUCUAAACUACAGGGAGCCC